UUCUUGGAAACUCAGGGAAGACAGACAAGUCUGCGUGACUACUGACAGUGGCAGUAACAUGAUCAAAGCUUUGAUGAGUGGAACCAUCUCCAGUGCUUUGGACACAGACUCCACAAUGCAAUUGAAAAUGGUGUGAAAGAUCUGCAGGUUGACUGUGCAGUUGGGAUCUGCAAGAAAGUUUAACCAGUACCCUGAUUGCUGUUUUUGCCGAAACCUGCCUGUCUCCCAACUUCGACCUUCGCCCGCCGACUUCAACCUGUUUGACACUCUCGCCCGCCUGGUUACCGACUCUGCCUGCCCCGACUUCCCAUCCUGGAUCUGCCCCC